AGCAAAAUGAUGAAGCUUUUUGAAUCUGAAUUUGAUGUUGAAUCAUAUAUUAUGCCUUCAAAGUUCUCUGAUUGCU